rnacentral:rRNA from 1 species
UACGUAGGGGGCAAGCGUUGUCCGGAAUUAUUGGGCGUAAAGCGCGCGCAGGCGGUGAUUUAAGUUUGGUGUUUAAGCCCAGGGCUCAACCCUGGUACGCACUGAAAACUGGAUGACUUGAGUGCAGAAGAGGAGAGUGGAAUUCCACGUGUAGCGGUGAAAUGCGUAGAUAUGUGGAGGAACACCAGUGGCGAAGGCUACUCUCUGGUCUGUAACUGACGCUGAGGCGCGAAAGCGUGGGGAGCAAACAGG